GACGAACGCUGGCGGCGUGCUUAACACAUGCAAGUCGAACGGAAAGGCCCUGCUUUUGUGGGGUGCUCGAGUGGCGAACGGGUGAGUAACACGUGAGUAACCUGCCCUUGACUUUGGGAUAACUUCAGGAAACUGGGGCUAAUACCGGAUAGGAGCUCCUGCUGCAUGGUGUGGGUUGGAAAGUUUCGGCGGUUGGGGAUGGACUCGCGGCUUAUCAGCUUGUUGGUGGGGUAGUGGCUUACCAAGGCUUUGACGGGUAGCCGGCCUGAGAGGGUGACCGGCCACAUUGGGACUGAGAUACGGCCCAGACUCCUACGGGAGGCAGCAGUGGGGAAUAUUGCACAAUGGGCGGAAGCCUGAUGCAGCAGCGCCGCGUGCGGGAUGACGGCCUUCGGGUUGUAAACCGCUUUCGCCUGUGACGAAGCGUGAGUGACGGUAAUGGGUAAAGAAGCACCGGCUAACUACGUG
rnacentral:rRNA from 1 species